ACUUGUCAGAUAUUGUAUCUCUGGAUCAUCUCUUCUUGCAGCCAUGGAUGAAAGUAAUCAAGUUUCUUCUGGUGAUUUAGAUAAGGAACAAGCUGAUAGAUCACAAGUAAAUAGAGAAAAUUUGAAGGAAAAUAUAAGUUCUUCUCAACCUGGGGAUGAUUGAAGUGGAAGAGGUCAGCCCACAGUUGAUAUAGCAGAAGUUUUAAGGCGAUGGACUCAUGCCUUACAGCGUAUACAUAAACAGUUACUUCACCUGGCAAAGGCGAAUGGUGGUGAAGGUCCGGAUCUUCUUCGAAGUGCAAGUGAUGGUGGUACAAGUGGCCAUGCUGAAUCUUUAGCUACAACACUUUCUGAACAUCGACAACAUUUAGCUAGCAUACAGGCAUGUUAAUGUUAAUAAUACUCAUUGCUUUUCCUUAAAAUCAAGAUUCAUAUAGUAUUUACAGUUUUGCCCUUUGUUAUCUUAUGUAGGUGCUUGUUAAUCAACUGAAAGGUGUUGCCCCCACAAUACAAAA